AAAAAUGAAUUUCAUACCAGUAUUUUUUUGUGUUUUUUUUGUGUGUGUCAAGAACACUUUCAUCAUUCUUUGUUUAUAUAUCCAACCAAUCACCAACUCAAAUCCGACUAAUAGAUCCGACUAAGACGUAUUUAAAAACCACUAAAAGUAUGCAAUACUAAACAAAAAUAAACAUCUGUCUACGUUGUCUUGUACUAUAUUUUAUAAUAACAAUUUGGCAGCACUGUUAAUUACUUGUAAAUUGUGUUUUAAUUAAAAAGUUAUUUAGGUGAUGUAUUCAAAGUAAAAUUUUAAGAGAUUUGUAUAGAA
rnacentral:lncRNA from 1 species